ensembl:lncRNA LINC00857 long intergenic non-protein coding RNA 857
GGCUCAUAGAAACAUCAUACAAGGUAAGGGAAGGUGGAGAAGAGUACCCAAGAAGGACAAGCUUGGAAUGGGGCCCCCUCCCCAGGCUGGAGAUCAGACAUUGUUGGAGAAGGUAUCAUUGCAGCCCCCUACAUAGCAGAGAGAUUUGCUGAGUUGCAUAGUCUAGAGCUGGUUGCAAUUAUUGGACAAGCAGGAAACAAACCUCCACAGCCCAUGCGAGCCACACUGCUGGGUUGAGUGUAUGAGCAUGUAGAAUGAUUGGGUCUCCAGUGCGGACAGAAGGCAUGGAUCGCGUGGUGCCUGUGUUGGGAGGAUACUAAGAGGGCGAUCACCAUGCCAGGACAAGACUAGUUGCCUGGGAUCUUCUGGGCACGUGACUGGAGCAGAGUACCACUGGAUCUCCUCACACCAGCCAGACCCAGGAAGAGAAGCUCCUUUCACCUGCACUGUUCUCUCAGCACCCUCCACGGAGAAAGCUUCAUGUUAUGCUUAGUGUACAGGAGAAAUGCUCAUGGGAAUCCUGUCCAUUAUCACAGAGCAGGUAUUAGUGGGUGAAUAUGGAGCUGAGAAGUAAUAAGUUGUAACUGGCAUAGAUAUCAUGGGGAUAUUUGAAGAACGCUGUGAACACA